GCCUGGUUAAGUACUUGGAUGGGUGACCGCCUGGGGAAUACCAGGU
rnacentral:rRNA from 10 species